GCCGUGCCGGGGGACGGCGGGCAGGUGUAAUAUUCCAAAUAUUGUACCAAUUCGUCCUUAUUUCCUGAUUGAAGAAACUGUUUGUAGAGUGAGGCACUCAUUGCAAUCCUACCUACAGAAAAACAAAGCAGAUUAUCUGAAAGAACGAAGUCACCAAGGGAAAACACUCUCUAUCUUGGACCUAGAUGGAAUUGGGGCUACCUGACAAUUGGAGUGGCAAGCAAAGCAUCAGCCACGCUUGAGAGAUUCCCAGAGAAGACCACAUGCCAUUCUAUGAAAGAAACAAAGAACUUCAGUAACAAGGAGAAGUGGAGUUGCUUCCAGGAGGCACCAGACUCUGAAAAUCUGGCUCAUCAACUUUGUGCUCCUUGGUUCUCGUGUGUCAGUGUGCUCAGCUGGGAGGGCAGGACUGGACAAGGGGGCUUUUCAGUCACUGAUACCUGAGCUGGCAUAAAACUGUGGAAUCUGCAUUUAUUUGAUUAUCAUUUCAGAUCUGCUGGAAGAUAUGGCAUCCUUUUUGCCUACUGAGGAAACAAAAACCCUGAUAUGAGCAUUUAUUCAGCAGGAAUGGCAGAAGAAAUCUUAAUAAAAAGGCCCUGUUAUGAAAUAUGCUGCAGCUUGAAACUUUCUGGAGAAAAUGCUCUGACCCUAUAGUGCCAUUCAAGAAGAUCAGAUUGGAUCAAAGACCCACUGGGAUAUGGAGUGUCUGUGGUGGAUGAAAAGCUAAGACUUUAUCAGUUAUGGUAAGAUAUAACCAUAAAAGAAUGGGAAAUUAUUCUUGGAACACAAUAAAUAAGAUGUGUGGCCACUUUUAAUUUUGAAACAUAAAGAUCUCUUCAAUAUCAGUAAGUUACUGACAAUUUACUACUGUAAUUUUACCGUAGAUUACUACUAUCCAUUAUGAUUUUAAUGUAUUUUCAAGUGACAACACAGCUCUCCUGACAAUGCAGCACUAGGUGCAAGUCUGAAAAGAGAGCAGCAGUUAAACAGAUGAUCAAGUAUUGAAUUUAAGCCAUGAUUUACAAUGGUGACUGUUUCCAGAGCCCACUUCCUUUGGAACAAAGUAUAGCAAGAAAGAAAAAGAGAAAAAAGCUUUGGUCGUUCUUUCCUACCUCUGUAGGGUGGAACAAAGGGGCCAGCACACAACCAAUAGAGAAACCACUGCUGAGUUCUCAGGGCUCUUAAAAAUUUAGUAACAUCUUUUGGUGCCUAAAUAAAAUUGUAUGAUCCCAGAGAGGGCCACAGGAUAAACCAAAGCCAGAAGGGACUAGUAGGAGGGCAGACUUCCCUAUCCACUUGUCACAAUUAUACAGUGUCAGUUUUUUCUAUUGUGGCUCUUUGCUGCUUGUUUUUGUCAGUGUUUUGUUGUCAAAACUUUAGAGAAACAAAUGCUCAAAGUGUUCUUUGUAGAUUUGCGUCUAUGAUUUUGCAAGCAGAAUUUCUGAAGUUAAAUAAUAUCUUUAUUCUUAGCAAGGUUACGCUCUUAUUGACAGGCAAUCCAGAGUUCAGGGAUUGAAAAACACCCACCAAGAUGUACAUAUCACAAAUUCCCACAGAAAAGCCAAAAAAUCCCAGGAAAAGCCAGUGCAACAGGCAGACUAGCAGCUGACCCAUGAGCAGCGGCUUCCCAUACACUCCCACUGCAACACUUCUUCAUGAGGGCUUCCAGAGCCUUUUCUUUUUCACACACUGAGUCUGUUAGAUGGCAUGUGUGAAAUAAUAUGGCAGUUAUUAUGGGGAUGUGUGUUCUUUGGAACUGAAAAAAAGCAUCUGCUAGGUCACAGCCUGCUUCUGGGUUGGACACACAAUGUCAGUGGGAACAAAUUAAGUGUUAUUCCAAGCAUCCAUGCAAAGAAGACCUUAAAGGGAAAGGUACUAUGAGGCCAGAGAAAAUAAUUUUAAAUGACACAGUGAAGUGUCUUCAAUUCAGAGCUUUUUUCUUCUAUUACAUGCACAUUAAGGAAGCUAACAAGACCACUUACAGUAAGUCAGUACCCUUCCAUUCUGCUUAAUCCCAUUUGUACUCCAAAGAAAUUAAUCAAAACAACAGGAAUGUGGAAAUGAUGUCAAGAGACUCUCAGAAGUGUGCAGGAUAGUGCAGAAGAAAAUUCUUUAGGAAAAGUCAGCAAAGUCCGCCCCCAGACCGAAGAAAAACAGUUCUCUGGAGCCUCUUCUUCUAAGGUUCCCUUCAGGAGUUUGCUAAACGACAAAAAUUAAAGCUGAACCAGAAAAUGAAGCAACGUGCACCGGGAAUGACAGCACCAAGGAAGCUGUGAAAUCCAAGGUGCAACUGCCUGCAUUUUGGAAGAAUUUUAAUACAUUUCAGGACAAAAUAGCACAUGCAAAAAUAUAAGCCUACCUGGUAUUUAUCUUGGACUCAAUGCUAAAAUAACUUGCCAGUAGCAAAUUCCAUACACUGAAACCACAGUUCUUGCUACACACUCGCAUGGUUCCCAUCAUACACACUCGCACACACACACAGACACACACACACACUGCAUAGAAAAACACUCAAAAAGCCAGCAUCAACAUUAUAAAAAAUAUCCCCCAAAGCAAGUUAUCACCUCACCUCCAAGCAGGAACACUGGGCUCUUAUGCUCAGCGUGUAGGCACAGCCAAACCUCCCUUGUCCAUCAGAAAGACACCUCUGGUCAUUUUGCACAAACUUCAAAUGCACCUUUUAAAGGAACUUCUGAGAGUCUUCCCACAUGGGCUCAGGGGUAGUUGUCUCUGUUUCUCUGUCUGCUGUUCCCUUUCUGCUGUACAGCUCACUGACUUUUUUGCUUCUGUCUCAGCUUCCCUUCACCCUGCAUCUACAAACGAACCAGCACCACAGUGUGUGUGUGUGUGUGUGUAGUACUGAACGAAGAAUACCCAAGGCCCAUGUUGCCAAGCUGAACUAAAUCUCCUUAGCAGUAAAACUCAAACUUUCUUAUAUGUAUUUUUAUUAGCUGCAGCACUACUUUAGUGCUUACUUAAUUUUUCCAGUUCAAAUAGUCCUAGUUACUCACCACGAUUGUGAAACAAAGGACUUGAAUGUUCAAAGGAUCAGAGGCCAUGUCACUCUUUGUUAGGAGUAUCUCGAGUUUUCUCUAAUAGUAUUUUUUCUGCUAACCAUGUCUGAUAAAAAUGGCUUUCAAAAGUGUAAAAUUCUCCAUUAGAGUAAUGCAAAACCUGAAUUAUAAAACAAUUUGAGAAACACACACAAAACAGAAAGAAAACAAAACCAAAGAAACACAGACAAUAAUUUCCCAGGGAACAUGCUCUGAAAGGCUUCUUACAGAAAUUAUUUUUUGGGAUUCCUCAGGCCUGGCCAGCCCCCUAACAGAUUUAUAAUAUCUUACUGGUGCACAAGAGAUCUUGUACUUCUGCACUGGGUUUUUCAUUGGCUUUUUGGAACAACUCCACUCAAACUGCAUAUCACAAGUAUGUCUCAGCAUAGCUCCACUCACCAGCUAACCACGAGUCAUGCUAGAGAGAAAAGGGAAAGAGAGGAAGAGGUGUUGUAGUUGUGAGUAAAAUCACAUUUAAACUUCAAGGAAAAAAAUAAAAAUUCCCUGCACAGAUCCAGUUCCACAGAGGUAAAGGGUGCAAUAAUUUUCUCAACUUAAAAGGUUUCCUAAGAUUUUAAAAAAAGAAAAAUAAAAAGGUGAUAAUUUAAUACAGAAUGGCAAAACCAGAAUGCAAUUAUAAAAAAAGACGGUUUUUUAUGGCAGGGACCUGGAGGCCUAGGUUUAAGGUUCACAAGGCUGUUUCAAAAUAGCUCUUCCAUACAUCUCAGGUGCGUGCAAGAUAGGCCACUUCCACAAACAAAACCUUCUGCUUGCUGUUUUUCCUUGUGCGACUUCCUGCUUCAGAUGCAGCUCAAAAAGGCUCCUGAAGGAUGCAAAUUCAUUCAUGAAGUCCCAGAGUACCAGUGACUAAAUUACAAUUUACAGUCUGAAGGCAAAAAGUAGUCUGAAUUUUUUUUUUUACUUGAUUCUCAGCCUCAGCUACAGGCAACUAGCUCAAGAAUGAGCUGGACAAUGGUGACAAUGUUCCCUCCUGCAUUCAAUAAAGGGUGGAGAUUUUCUCUGGCCCUCCUUCUGUUGUUAAUGUAUUUAUAAAAACACUUAUUAUCAUUCACAGCAGUGGCCAGAAUGAGUUCUAGUUGAGCUCUAGCCUUUCUAAUUUUCUCUCUACAUGACGUAAUGACAUCCUUCUACUCUUUCUGAGUUGCCUACUUUUUUGCCCCCAGGCAUAUAUUUUUCCUCAAAUUAUACUGAAAUGUCUGACAACAGCAGUGGAGCUGAACACCACAGCUUAUGUUUUGGUUAGUAUUUUCACCAAUUAUCCACUUAACAAUUAUAUUCAUAUGCAGGCAUUUUUAGGGCAAAAAAUAACUCAAUUUACAGUUCUGUUUCCAUACCUGACUCAGUAUGGGUUAGACUGAACGAAACAAUGAAUUCACAGAGCUCAUACCAUGGAAUCUUUUGUUCCAUUCAUUUAGUUUCACAAGAACUCUGUUGAAAAUUUUUUGCAAAUUUUGAUAAGGUAAAGAGUAACAAAAAAGAGCCUCCCCCUGCCCUUUUGCCAGGUAGAAAGUGCUGUAGUACUAUCUCAAAAAUUAAAAGUCUUGUCUUUUAGAUGUCAUUUCAAAAUUUUCCCAAGUGUUACACUAAUGUGUGUGACACUGUGCAGUAACACCCUUUCUUAGCCUUUAUAACCAUUUAAAGUUUUACCUGUUAGUCUUUUAAAAUGUUGCAGAAUGGUACAGAAGCACAUUAUAUUGGCUACCAAAGUAAAUGCUCUUAAGUUAAAAUUAAUAGCUUACUUAAAAUGGUUGCAUAAUAAUGAAAGAGGGUUUGAAUUCUCUUACAAAUACUAGUUAUUUGGGAUGAAUGUCGUGUGUUUCCUAUUUACCCCAGUUAUUAUACAGAAAUAUAGUACUCAAGUCCUUUACCUUUAUUAGCCUUAGCAACUAAAAAAAUAUAUGCUCCUUUGUUUAAUGAGAAGUACUAACCCGUUGGGCUGAGAGGUAAAAUCCCAUUACAGGUGGUUUGUAUGUUUGGUAACUCGGAAAGGGUCAACUGGCAUUUUAACCUCAAGAUUAUUAGGUUAAAUCUAGACAUCUCAGAGGACAUUUGUUCCCUAUGUUUGGUGACUUCCAGAGUCACACAUAUUUUCAGUAAAGCCACCUUAGUGCAGGAACAGCACUCUGCAGUGACAGACUCUCCUAAAUGAAGCUCCCCACUUACAAACCCUACUAAGAUCCGGCAGACCAGAGAGGUACAACUUCUUGUCUUCCAUGUAAGACACAACAUCUGUCACAAGGCAGAGAGAGAAGAAAGAUUCCCCUUCAUCCAAGCAACAAAAGCUGGAAAAAAAGAACCUCUUUUGAGUUCUUCUUAGUUACCAAGUAACUCUUAUUUAAUUCCUCUCCCUUCCCCACUCUUUCAAAAGACUAGGUGGACAUUCCUCCCUACAAAUCUAUUCCCCAACAUAAACUUCAGAUGAAAAAAUCUAGGGGUGCUAAACUUGAUACGACCUGGAACAAAGAAAUCAGUUUUACCUAGGCAUUGAAAUAUAUUAGCAAUAUCAUUGUGGGUCUCAUAAAUCAGAUGGUGGUGUUCUUUCCCUUCCAGAGCACCCAGUGUUUCUCAUUUCUGCCAUAAAUCGCUUUUCAAAUACUUCAGUGGUCUUUCCACCUCAACAGAUGGGGAGACCCACCUCAUUCACAUGUCUGGGAGUGAAAUCUGUCUCCUGGUUUCCAGCCCUUCCUCUCCAAGAGGCAGAGUCCUCACCAGUCUGGGAAGCAGUUUCCAACCUCCAGCUUCCUAUCUUCCCCUUUCCAGCUGCUGUGGCUCACAGCCUUGCUUCCCAGCUGGUUCCACAAGGCUGUGGGGUCUGUUAGGCAGCCAGGGACCUGCAAGUCGGACCCACUGCAAGAAUUUCAGCUCAAGGGAUGGAAAGACCAGACAGAAAGGCCACGUUUUUUGGUGCUCCCUUGAGCAAAACCUAUAUCCAUUGUGUGCACAUAGGUCCUAACUCAAACCAGCUGACCCACAGAUCCUGCAACUCCUACCUGGCAGCUUUAAUGAAGCCUGGAGAAGAGCCUGUGAGGGUGCUCUGAUUAGCAAAGCAGACUAAAACACGUGCUGCUGCCUUGUGUUCUGUGCUCCACCAACCCAAGAUAUAACCUUCUCCACUGCAAGAAGGCACAGCUGCUGUGGCAGCAGAAACACCAGUGACAGUGCAGUUACAGCUGCUAAAAUGAAGGUGGAAAUGUUCAUAAGGAAAGCUCUGGUAGGGUGAGAAGUGGCCUGGAUGCCACUGCAGACAACCAAGAAGCCAAGGCAGAGAUGUCUUUUGUUUAAGUCCUUGCUUAUCCGCAGGGGCAAAAGGGUUUUCGCAGUAUCAAAUAUGCCAGUGUAUAUGUUAAAUACUUUUUUUUCUGGUUAAAGCAGUGGUACCACUUCAUUUUGUGUGCUUAAUUACCUACAAUUAACCAGGUAAACUGGGCAUGUAUUUUUUUUAAGCCACUCAAGAUAGGUAGUGCAGUUUCCUGGCAUGUAUCCUGUUCUAGCAAUAAGGCUUAACAUGACUGCAACAAAAAUGACAAGAAUGAUUAAAUGGAGCUGGAAAGUAGUAAUUGUUCUCAUCCCUUGAAGCAGACAUUAAAAGUAAUUACAAUUUGGCAACGGUGAUUUUCAGAUAUAAAAAGUCAGUGUCUCAAAUGCUCACUGGGAGUAAAAGCUAACAAAAAUGAAACACCUGUUUAUACAUAAAUGCUGCUGCAGUUUAGCAGCAUGCAGCAUUCCUGGAGCUGUUAAAUACAUGCAUUAUGCCAACAAAAAUGUGGCCACAUGUUUACUUAAGGCCUGAAUAAUAUGGCCAAUCUAGUUUUUACCUGGGGUUAAUAAGACUGACAGCAAAAUGAUCAGAAAUUUAAACAUGACAAAUAACGUCAUGUAAAUAGCUAUUGCUGACGCAAAAUGGAGUUUUUAAAGAAAAAUCCUAUGUUCUGACAGAAUUUGUGGGUUUAUUUAUGUGGUUUCCAGCCCUGUGAAUGGAUUUGCCCCAUGGCUGGGACACCAAAGACAAAGUCAGUGAGUUGAGCUGAAGCAAGGCUUCAGUGGCACUCUUUUCACGGGCUGUAACCCAAAGCCAAAUCUGCAACCUGACUCAGCCUGGCUAAUCCUAAGGAUGUGAAGGAGAGUGUUUUGAGUAGCAAGAAAACAGGUGUAGGAGUUCUGCAGUUCAAGUCCUUUAAUUCUCUUUUUUGUGGUUAAACUUCCAGAAAACAUGAAAUAGAAAAUUUUACUUGCCUUUCCUCUGACCAUGAAAAGUAGAGACUGAAUUAUAAGUUAUCUCAAGACAUGUUUGGGCUAUUUAUGAGACAUUUUGAACACUUAUGUAAAAAAAUACCUAAGAGUUCUAGCACAGAGUAAAAGCUGGCUAAAAAAGGAUGCAGAUAAGCUGGCUGGAUCUGUGGCAUUUUGAGGGAUGCUCAGAAGAGUAUCUUUGCACAGGACAAAUCAGUGAGGUUUAUGAUGCAAAUGACUUCAGACAGACGUGUCUACUUACAACAUCCCCCCCAUGCCUGCAGUAGCCUCUCCUCCUUGCCAGGCAGGGCCUGUGCCCAGCACAGGGACUUGCACACUGCCUUGCAAUCACUAGCACACUUCCCAAAACAAGUUUUGUCAAGACCCUCCCUUCUUAUGGAGGGCUUUUCAGAGUUUGAAGAACUCCACUUUUUUUUUUUUCCUUCCACGAAGUGAAAAUACCAGACUAUUUCUCUAAACCAAUUUAGGAAGCAACCACAGAGAUGGGAAAAAGACAAAAGAAUUUCCUCCCACAGUUAAGCAGAAAUAACCUGUACGUAAAGUGCUUUAGCCAAGAGUUUGAAGUCUAUACAAACUGUUUCAUUCAGAGUGAGAAUUAAAUGUAUAAUCCAGCCACAAUCCCCCAACAUAUAACAAGGGUAACAGAAUCAACAGACAAGGACCAGCAGGUUACAAUUUAGACAGGGUAUCGGAAACAGCUCCUGCUCCAAAAUGGGCAAAUCUCCCAAACGUUCCAAGUUUAUGCUCCAAAUCAGAAUGCUUGCAUGUUUGUACCUUCACAGCUGACCAGUGGUAUAUAGAGAAGCAUUCCAUAAACAACCAAAUCAAUAACCAGUAAGUUAUAUUCUUUUUAUUUAUGUUAGAAUUUCUAUCAGUGUUCGAACAUUAAUAUUUAGAGAGUUUGUACAAUUUCCAUUCAAAGUUUAAAAUGAGAACCACACUAGAUCACAAAUGGUAGCUAAAACACAGUUCUGAAUUGUAUGAAUAUUCACACUCUCUUUCUCUUAACACUGUUAAACACUUUCUUUUCUCCAGGGGGUUUACAAGGAAAAGUGUGCACUGUAAUCGUAUCUCAGCAGUGUUCCAAAACAUAAUGGUAUCAUCAUUACAUAUAAACUCUUUAAAAAUAUACUUCUGUCAAAAGACUUGAUGACUACUAUGUACACUACAAAAAUAAAUUUUCAUAUAAAUAAA